rnacentral:rRNA from 1 species
UACGUAGGGUGCGAGCGUUAAUCGGAAUUACUGGGCGUAAAGCGUGCGCAGGCGGUUCUCCAAGUCCGUUGUGAAAGCCCCGGGCUCAACCUGGGAAUGGCAUUGGAAACUGGCGGGCUUGAGUGCGGCAGAGGGGGGUGGAAUUCCGCGUGUAGCAGUGAAAUGCGUAGAGAUGCGGAGGAACACCGAUGGCGAAGGCAGCCCCCUGGGUCGACACUGACGCUCAGGCACGAAAGCGUGGGGAGCAAACAGG